rnacentral:rRNA from 1 species
CCUACGGGGGGCAGCAGUGGGGAAUAUUGGACAAUGGGGGGAACCCUGAUCCAGCCAUGCCGCGUGUGUGAAGAAGGCCCUCGGGUUGUAAAGCACUUUCAGUGAGGAAGAACGCCUGGUGGUUAAUACCCAUCAGGAAAGACAUCACUCACAGAAGAAGCACCGGCUAACUCCGUGCCAGCAGCCGCGGUAAUACGGAGGGUGCGAGCGUUAAUCGGAAUUACUGGGCGUAAAGCGCGCGUAGGUGGCUUGAUAAGCCGGUUGUGAAAGCCCCGGGCUCAACCUGGGAACGGCAUCCGGAACUGGCAAGCUAGAGUGCAGGAGAGGAAGGUAGAAUUCCCGGUGUAGCGGUGAAAUGCGUAGAGAUCGGGAGGAAUACCAGUGGCGAAGGCGGCCUUCUGGACUGACACUGACACUGAGGUGCGAAAGCGUGGGUAGCAAACAGGAUUAGAUACCCUAGUAGUC